CACGCCCAGGCUUCACUGUAGGACCCAACAACAUAAACAGAGGCACGCAAGGCUUUAUGUUGUCAUUUAUGGGAAUUAACAGCGACUUCUGAGGUUCUUGGAAAACGACUGACAAAGCUUCAUGUUGCAGGUUUACAAGUUGCAGAGCUCCUUGCCAAGAAGCGCAGUAAAGAAGAGCUGCUGUUUUGUUUGACUACUUAUGGAGUGUUCUAACUUUCAUUUUGGCUAACUUAGUUUGCUUUGUUUUGAUUGUCAUGGACAGCUUUUAUUCACUUGUUAUUUUGGCCUUGAG